rnacentral:rRNA from 1 species
AUUGAACGCUGGCGGCAGGCCUAACACAUGCAAGUCGAGCGGAUGAAGGGAGCUUGCUCCUGGAUUCAGCGGCGGACGGGUGAGUAAUGCCUAGGAAUCUGCCUGGUAGUGGGGGAUAACGUCCGGAAACGGGCGCUAAUACCGCAUACGUCCUGAGGGAGAAAGUGGGGGAUCGUCGGACCUCACGCUAUCAGAUGAGCCUAGGUCGGAUUAGCUAGUUGGUGGGGUAAAGGCCUACCAAGGCGACGAUCCGUAACUGGUCUGAGAGGAUGAUCAGUCACACUGGAACUGAGACACGGUCCAGACUCCUACGGGAGGCAGCAGUGGGGAAUAUUGGACAAAGGGCGAAAGCCUGAUCCAGCCAUGCCGCGUGUGUGAAGAAGGUCUUCGGAUUGUAAAGCACUUUAAGUUGGGAGGAAGGGCAGUAAGUUAAUACCUUGCUGUUUUGACGUUACCAACGGAAUAAGCACCGGCUAACUUCGUG